AUUGAACGCUGGCGGCAGGCCUAACACAUGCAAGUCGAGCGAGUGGCGGACGGGUGCGUCAUGUCUGGGGAUCUGCCUGCUGGAGGGGGCUAACUACUGGCAACGGUAGCUAAUACCGCAUACCCUCAGAUGAACCCAUAUGGGAUUAGCUUGUUGGUGUGGUAACGGCUCACCAAGGCGACGAUCCCUAGCUGGUCUGAGAGGAUGAUCAGCCACACUGGGACUGAGACACGGCCCAGACUCCUACGGGAGGCAGCAGUGGGGAAUAUUGCACAAUGGGCGCAAGCCUGAUGCAGCCAUGCCGCGUGUAUGAAGAAGGCCUUCGGGUUGUAAAGUACUUUCAGUCGGGAGGCGUUACCGACAGAAGAAGCACCGGCUAACUCCGUGCCAGCAGCCGCGGUAAUUC
rnacentral:rRNA from 1 species